CAGUCCAUAACUCUGUCUCUCCAGGGCUUUAUAUGUUGUCAGGCAAUCAAGCGUUUAUUUGGGCCACUCAGUCUGCAGACUGUUGUAGACAAAGCUACAAAGCCACUUUACAAGACAAAGCUGUUUGGACUCUCAUUCUGACGGCACCCAUUCACUGCAGAGGAUCCGCUGUUGAGCAAGUGAUGUAAUGCUACAUUUCUCCAAAAAUGUUCUGAUGAAGCAACAAACAUAUUGCAUGGCCUGAGGUACUAUCAGUGGACUGAACAAGUGUCAGUCGUGAAGGGUGACGAUGCGCUAGAGCUCUGCGUUGAGUAAUCACACGAGCAGGAGCUGCCGGGACCAGAUAAAACCACCAACAAUGAGAACAGUCCCUCGUCUCUCUCUCUUCAUUCUCAUCUUUCUUGCAGUUUGACAGCUAAUCACGGCCUAUCGGAGAGCAAUUCCUAAUGUGCGCGUCGCCUUUAGCCAGCAGGCCUGUGCAGUUCCUUUCACAACACACAAAUGUCAAAUACUCAGUUGGUGAAAUGUGUAAGUGCAUGCUGGGUGUCAGUGUGUGUUUUAAUGUGUCAUCUUCACUUUAAUGGCAUGUGAGCGCAGUGUUCCGUCUGUUUAGUAACAUGCUUUCACAAACCCUGUCAUAUCUAACACAUAAAUGGUUUUCUUUUCAUGUAUGCAAAUCUACAUUUAUG